CCAAUAGCGUAUAUUAAAGUUGUUGCAGUUAAAAAGCUCGUAGUUGAAUUUCGGGAUCAGUUGGUCGGUCGUGCCUCGGUACGUACUGGUCAAAUUGAUUUCUCCCUUCUGAAGAACCUUGAUGUCAUUAAUUUGGUGUCUUGGGGAAUCAGGACCGUUACUUUGAAAAAAUUAGAGUGUUUAAAGCAGGCUCACGCUUGAAUACAUUAGCAUGGAAUAAUGAAAUAGGACGUUUGAUUCUAUUUUGUUGGUUUCUAUGAUCGACGUAAUGAUUAAUAGGGGUAGUUGGGGUCGUUAGUAUUCACUUGUCAGAGGUGAAAUUCUUGGAUUUAUUGAAGACUAACUACUGCGAAAGCAUUUGCCAAGGAUGUUUUCAUUAAUCAAGAACGAAAGUUAGGGGAUCGAAGACGAUCAGAUACCGUCGUAGUCUUAACCAUAAACUAUGCCGACUAGGGAUCGGAUGAUGUUAAUUUUUUAAUGACUCAUUCGGCGCCUUACG
rnacentral:rRNA from 1 species